rnacentral:tRNA from 1 species
CAGAGAAUAGUUUAAAUAAAAUUUUAAUUUUGGAGAUUAAAGAUAAAAUACAAAAUUUUUUCUCUGA